rnacentral:rRNA from 1 species
UUAGAUGAGCCGAUGUCCGAUUAGCUAGUUGGCGGGGUAAUGGCCCACCAAGGCGACGAUCGGUAGCUGGUCUGAGAGGAUGAUCAGCCACACUGGAACUGAGACACGGUCCAGACUCCUACGGGAGGCAGCAGUGGGGAAUAUUGGACAAUGGGCGCAAGCCUGAUCCAGCCAUACCGCGUGGGUGAAGAAGGCCUUCGGGUUGUAAAGCCCUUUUGUUGGGAAAGAAAUCCUAUCGGUUAAUAACCGGUGGGGAUGACGGUACCCAAAGAAUAAGCACCGGCUAACUUCGUGCCAGCAGCCGCGGUAAUACGAAGGGUGCAAGCGUUACUCGGAAUUACUGGGCGUAAAGCGUGCGUAGGUGGUGGUUUAAGUCUGCUGUGAAAGCCCUGGGCUCAACCUGGGAAUUGCAGUGGAUACUGGAUCACUAGAGUGUGGUAGAGGGAUGCGGAAUUUCUGGUGUAGCAGUGAAA